ensembl:lncRNA
CUUCUCUUCAACUGUCAUGGGAUCUCCUUCUGGGCAAACCACAGGAAAGAGAAUACAUUGCACUAACAUUUUGUGUUAAUCCCAGUACCUCCCCAGACAAAAUCUCAGGGAGAGGUGGAGGAGAUAGUGUGGCCUUGUUUUUUAUCAGACAGUGAACACGGUAAGAGUGAAGGCUGUGACCCUUGUUCCACAUACAGCAGUGCUGGUGCCCAGUGAAGCUCCCGCUGUGGAAAGACAUCGAUGACAAUGGUGACCUCAGCCUGUGGACAGGAAGGAUUGCUUGAGAGUUGGCAACAGUGGAAUUAUUCCCUCCUCAGGAGACUCCUGAAUGGCUUCAUGAAAUACCAUUAUAGAGCCUUCAUCCAGUGGCUGAUGGAAGCAGAAGCAGAGAUCCACAGUUAAACACUGAACUGAACUCUGGAAUCCAGUUUCAGAGAGGGAGGAGUGACCAACAAAGGGAUCAAGACCACACUGGGCAAACCUGCAGAAACAGCUGACCUGAGAAAGUGGGAACUCAUGAAACCCAGUCUGACAGCUGGGGAACCAACACAGGACCAAACCAGGCUCCCUAAACAGCUUUCAUCCAGUAGCUGAUGGAAGCAGAAGCAGGAACCCACAGCUAAACACUUAGCCAUACUACUGGAAUCCAGGGAGGAGGGAUGAACAAAGCAGUCAAGACCGUGCUGGAGAAACCUACAGAACCAGCUGACCUGACCUAGUGAGAGCACACAGACCCCAGUCGUAAAGCUGGGGAACCAGCAUUAGGCUGAACCAAACCCUCUGAAUGUGGGUGCCAGUUAGGAGGCCUGGGCAGGCUAUGGUACCUCCAAGAGUGGAACCAGAGCACAAAUGAACUUUGGGAGCCCAUUCCCUAUGGAGGGGUACUAUUGCAGCCCUAUCUGCUGCAAGGAGGAGGGCCUAGGCCCUCCCUGAAAUGAUGUGACAGACUUUGAUGAUCCUCCAUGGAAGGCUUCACCGUCCU